AUACGGAGGAUCCGAGCGUUAUCCGGAUUUAUUGGGUUUAAAGGGUGCGCAGGCGGCCAUUUAAGUCAGCGGUUAAAUCGUGGGGCUCAACCCCAUUCUGCCGUUGAUACUGGGUGGCUUGAUUGCGGUCGAGGUUGGCGGAAUUCGUUGUGUAGCGGUGAAAUGCAUAGAUAUGACGAAGAACACCGAUUGCGUAGGCAGCUGACCAGACCGCAAAUGACGCUCAUGCACGAAAGUGCGGGGAUCGAACAGGAUUAGAUACCCUGGUAGUCCGCACAGUAAACGAUGAAUACUUGUCUUCGGCGAUAUAAUGUCGGAGGCAAAGCGAAAGCGAUAAGUAUUCCACCUGGGGAGUACGCCGGCAACGGUGAAACUCAAAUGAAUUGACGGGG
rnacentral:rRNA from 1 species